GAAGCUGACCAGACAGUCGCCGCUUCGUCGUCGUCCUUUCGGGGAGACGGGCGGAGGGGAGGAAAGUCCGGGCUCCAUAGGGCAGGGUGCCAGGUAACGCCUGGGGGGGAAACCCACGACCAGUGCAACAGAGAGCAAACCGCCGAUGGCCCACGUAAGUGGGAUCAGGUAAGGGUGAAAGGGUGCGGUAAGAGCGCACCGCGCGGCUGGUAACAGUCCGUGGCACGGUAAACUCCACCCGGAGCAAGGCCAAAUAGGGGUUCAUAAGGUACGGCCCGUACUGAACCCGGGUAGGCUGCUUGAGCCAGUGAGCGAUUGCUGGCCUAGAUGAAUGACUGUCCACGACAGAACCCGGCUUAUCGGUCAGUUUCACGU
rnacentral:RNase_P_RNA from 1 species